UAUCAAGCUACUAACGGCUUAUGGUGGAUAGCUUGGUUGGUGCUGGCGAUGAAGGACGUGGCAAGCUGCGAUAAGCUGCGGUAAGAUGCAAGCAAUCUUUGACCCGCAGAUUUCCGAAUGGGAAAACCUUUGCGGGGUAAUACCUGCAAGUUCCGCCGUAAGGCGGGAAGCUAACCUGGGGAAGUAAAACAUUUCAGUACCCGGAGGAAAAGAAACCGAAUAGUAUUCCCCCAGUAGCGGCGAGCGAAAAGGGAAUAGCCUAAACCUGACAAGUGUCAAGCCUGCUGGCGUUGCUUGUUGGGGGUUGCGGAGCAUUGUCGGAGAGUGCAGCAGAACUUUCAAGAAGUUACAAAUCUAACCUGUAGCAGAAUCAGUUGAAAAACUGAGCCAAAGAAGGUGAUAGCCCUGUAAGUUAAAUGGGUUAGACUUCUGUGGCAAUGUUUCCAAGUACAACGGAGCACGAGAAACUCUGUUGGAAUCUGCCCUGACCACAGGGUAAGGCUAAAUACACGCACCAGACCGAUAGUGUACUAGUACCGUGAGGGAAAGCUGAAAAGAACCCCGGAAGGGGAGUGAAAUAGAACUUGAAACCAUAAGUUUACACAGCGGUCAGAGUCUCGCUUCGGCGGGACAAUGGCGUACCUUUUGCAUAAUGGUCCAGGGAGUUAUUUGUUUAUCGCAAGUCUAAUUCCGACGUUCGGAAGGAGGCGUAGCGAAAGCGAGUCCGAAUAGGGCGCCUUAGCGGUAGGCAAUAGACCCGAAGCCAGUCGAUCUACCCAUGACCAGAGCGAACCCCGACGAAAGUCGGGGGGAGGUUCGAACCAGUGACAGUUGAAAAUGUCUUGGAUGAGUUGUGGGUCGGAGUGAAAGGCUAAUCAAGGCUGGUGAUAGCUGGUUCUCCCCGAAAUGCCUUUAGGGGCAGCCUUUAGGUAAGGGCUAUGGAAGGUAGAGUACAGGAUGGGCUAGGGUGGAGUUUCUCCAUACCAAACCCAAUCUAACUCCGAAUUGCUAUAGUCUAUACUAAGGAGUGAGACUGUGCGGGCUAAGCUGCAUAGUCAAAAGGGAAACAGCCCAGACCGUCAGUUAAGGUCCUUAAAAGCAGGCUAAGUGGAAAAGGAUGUGGAGCUGCUAAGACAGCCGGGAUGUUGGCUUAGAGGCAGCCAUCAUUUAAAGAGUGCGUAAUAGCUCACCGGUCGAGUGGUUCUGCGCCGAAAAUGAUCGGGGCUCAAGCCUGUUACCGAAACUACGGAUUUAUUCCCCGCCAUAGGCGGGGGAUAAGUGGUAGGGGAGCAUUCUGUAGGCAGUGAAGGUCUCGUUGUAAGACAGGCUGGAGCGUACAGAAGAGAUUAUCUUGGAAUGAGUAGCGAAAAGACCGGUGAAAAACCGGUCCGCCGAAAGCCUCAGGUUUCUCCGUCAAUGUUCGUCAGACGGAGGUUAGGCGGUCCCUAAGCUGUACCUCGAUAUUUCGAGGGUAGGUAAUGGGGAAGGGCGUUAAUAUUCGCCCCCCAUCUAUAGACGUUAAUCUAAAGAGUGACGCAUAAGGUGCGGUGGUCGGACUGUUGGAUGUGUCCGUUUUUCCGACGUAAGUCGGGAAGGGAGCCCAAGCUACGGCGCGGGUAAACCCACCAGGACCAAGUGCCAAGAAAUAGCUUUUUAGAUUGUUUAUUGAUGACCGUACCGCAAUCCGACACAGGUAGGCUACCAUCAAAUGGUAAGGCGCUCGGGAGAUUUCUCGUUAAGGAACUCGGCAAUCUAGCCCCGUACGUUAGCAAGAAGGGGUGCCCCCGAUUUAUCGGGGGUCGCAGUGAAAUGGCUGCUGGGACUGUUUAGCAAAAACACAGGUCCCUGCUUAACUCGCAAGAGGAUGUAUAGGGACUGAGACCUGCCCAAUGCCGGAAGGUUAAGGGAAGAGGUUAGGCCGGCGUAAGUCGGUUGAAGCUUUGAACCGAAGCCCCGGUGAAUGGCGGCCGUAACUAUAACGGUUAAAAGUCUAAGCAUAAUAAGUAAUUAUGCUGCUACCUGACUGUGGCCGUUGUAAAAUUUGGCUAUAUGCUGGAACAUCUGGUUAGAUUUCAUGCUACCGAGGAGGUGACAAAGUAUGAAUGCAGAUAAUCAGCAGGAAAGACUGCAGAUUACAGAAGAGUUCAAGUGGUUUCUUGCGGGCCUAAUUGAGGGAGAGGGAAGUUUAUGCAUCUCCUUUAAGCAACAUCCUACUGCCAAGUUUGGUUAUUACAUCGAUCCAGAAUUUUUUAUUUAUCAACACAAGUCAGCGCGUGAACUUCUGGAACGAGCAAAAGACUUUUUUGGCACAGGAAGCAUUGUACCUAAACCAGGGAAUGAGGACGUUUUAGUUUACAAGAUUGCAUCACGAAGAAGUAUCGUAGAGAAAGUAAUUCCUUUCUUCGAAAAAUAUAUGCGAUACUCCUCAGCAAUAAAGCGUCGCAAUUUCCUGAUGUUUAAGGAAGCAACAUUGGCUUUAGAGAAUAAGGCGCACAAAACACUUGAAGGUACUUUGCGUUUAGUUGAAUUAGCAUAUUCAACGAAUCACGCAGGUAAACAACGUAAGCGAACAAAAGAAGAAGUAAUUAGCAGAAUCCUCAGAGACUAUACGCCGAAUCCCGAUGUUGAGUCGGGAAAGAUAUAGUCCGAUCUUUGUGGCGACACAAAGCUAACAAAAAUGCCUAAGGUAGCGAAAUUCCUAGUCGGGUAAGUUCCGACCCGCACGAAUGGUAUAACCAUAGCAGCGCUGUCUCAACGAGGAGCCCGGUGAAGUUGUAGUGGCGGUGAAGAUGCCGUCUACCCGCACUCGGACGAAAAGACCCCGGAACCUUUACUGUACGCUGGUAUUGGAUUUUGGUGUAGUAUGUGUAGCAUAGGUGGGAGGCUUUGAAGUUCUGGCGCUAGCUAGAAUGGAGCCAUCAGUGAAAUACCACUCUUACUUUAUUAAGGUUCUAACCCCAUUUAAUUGGGGGACAGUUCCAGCCGGGCAGUUUAACUGGGGCGGUUCCUUCCUAAAAGAUAACGGAAGGGUCUAAAGGUACCUUCAGUCCGUUUGGAAAUCGGACGUUGAGUAUAAGAGCAUAUGGGUGCCUGACUGUGAGGCUGACAGGCCGAGCAGACGCGAAAGCGGGGUCUAAUGAUCCGGUGGUUGCUUGUGGAAGCGCCAUCGCUCAACGGAUAAAAGGUACUCCGGGGAUAACAGGCUAAUCGGGUCCGAGAGUUCACAUCGACGACCCGGUUUGGCACCUCGAUGUCGGCUCAUCCCAUCCUGGGGCUGGAGAAGGUCCCAAGGGUCCGGCUGUUCGCCGGUUAAAGGGGUACGUGAGCUGGGUUCAGAACGUCGUAAGACAGUGAAAAUGACCGUUUGCUGUCUCUAAAAUUGGUCCGAUACCAACUUUUAUUGGAUCGGACUCCGACAUUUCCGUAAGGAAAUUGUCGGAGCUAUAUGCUGGAAAGUCCGGAGAAUUACUCACUACUUGAUAAAAAGAUAAGUAGAGAUAUAAUGUCUCUAUGGUGUCAAGUGAAAAUGUGCAGUAUGCGGACAAUCAGCAGGUAAGCAGGGAAAAGAGAAUUUCCGACGAGUACUUUGCGGGUUUUGUUGAUGGUGAAGGAUGUUUCUAUGUGGGGUUCAGUAAGCGCAAAGAUUUGCCUUUAAAAUGGCAAAUUAUUACUGAAUUUCACUUAAGUCAAAAUCCAGGUGGGAAGAAUAUUCUUGAAGCAUUCAAGAAUAGAUUGGGUUGCGGAUACCUAAAACCCAAUCACCUCAAAAAUCCUAAAGAUAGGACAUGGGUUUUGAUUGUGAAAAAUAGAAAGGAUCUAUGCGAAAAGCUAAUUCCUUUCUUCAAGAAACACCCGCUUCGUUCUGACAAAAAUAUUGAUUUUCAAAUUUUUGUUAGAGUGCUCGAUAUUAUAAAUAAAAGAGAGCACUUGAAGCGUGCAGGUUUCAAUCGAGUUGUGAAAUUAGUUUUUAAUUCACCAAAGACAGGACUUAAAAAGUAUUCGAAAGAUAUUCUUCUAAAACCUUGAAACCUCAGAGACUAUACGCCAAUGGCCCCGAUAUUGUGUCGGGGUUAAGAUAUAGUCCGAGCUGCAUAGCGAUAUGCAGAGAUUUCCGCCUAAGGCGGAUCCGCCCAUAUCAGUAAUAUGAUGUGGCGGAAGCAGAAAUGGCUAAUCCUUCCGUUCGUAAGAACGGGAAGUAACAAAACUGUCGGUCUCUAUCCAGUGUGGGUGUAAGGAUUCUUGAAGAGGUACUGUCCCUAGUACGAGAGGACCGGGACAGAGGAGCCUCUGGCGUGCCAGCUAUCCUGCCAAGGGUAAAGGCUGGGUAACUAUGCUCCUACGAGAUAAGCGCUGAAUGCAUCUAAGUGCGAAGCUCACCUUGAAACUAAGAAUCCCUUCUCGGCGUUAGUCGAGAUGAAGGCUCGUAGUAGACUACUACGUUGAUAGGGUGCAGGUGUAAGCACGGUAACGUGUUCAGCCGAGCACUACUAAUAAGCCAAUCGGCUUGAUACU
rnacentral:rRNA from 1 species